rnacentral:lncRNA from 1 species
ACGACACCCAUGGGACUUUUGUGGGCACAAAUUUUCAGCCCGACAUGAACUGGGCUUUUUCAGCCCAGCCCGGCCCGCAAAAUGCUCAAUUCUAGAUUCACCCAACCAAAUAAAAAGAUCAUUAUUGUACGUGAACCAUACGAUACAAGCAACCAAACACACUCCAUCCGGUUCCUGAAUAAAUAAAGAAUUGCCUCGUCAUCUUUCAUCUCUAUUAGACUGAUUCACUAUACUACUACUAUGGUAGCCAGGGGUCAUUUACGUAUCCGCCCCUUGAAGACGCCAAAAGGCAAACAGAUGGCAUCGGCCUUAUCCUGUGGCGGUACGUUAUCCAAUAUUCAAGCUGCCAAGUGGCCAGUGGCCACCUAUACAUAUCAUACUAUACACGCACACAGUAGUAUCGCACUACAACGGAUAGGAGUAAUGUUUUCUUUUGGCCCGAGGAAGAUAUAUAUAUAUAUAUAUAUAUAUAUAUAUAUAUAUAUAUAUAUAUAUAUAUAUAUAUAUAUAUAUAUAUAUAUAUAUAUAUAUAUAUAUAUAUAUAUAGCAUCAGUACUUCCACGCGACCAACCUUUGAAUUUCGC